AUUAGACGAAUCAUCUGGAAAGAUGAAUCAAAGAAGGUAAUAAUCCUGUAGUCGAAAAUGUUGUCUCUCUUGAGUGGAUCCUGAGUACGACGGAGCACGUGAAAUUCCGUCGGAAUCUGGGAGGACCAUCUCCUAAGGCUAAAUACUCUCUAGUGACCGAUAGUGAACCAGUACCGUGAGGGAAAGGUGAAAAGCACCCCGGAAGGGGAGUGAAAUAGAACCUGAAACCGUGUGCUUACAAGUAGUCAGAGCCCGUUAAUGGGUGAUGGCGUGCCUUUUGUAGAAUGAACCGGCGAGUUACGAUUUGAUGCAAGGUUAAGCAGUAAAUGUGGAGCCGUAGCGAAAGCGAGUCUGAAUAGGGCGUUUAGUAUUUGGUCGUAGACCCGAAACCAGGUGAUCUACCCUUGGUCAGGUUGAAGUUCAGGUAACACUGAAUGGAGGACCGAACCGACUUACGUUGAAAAGUGAGCGGAUGAACUGAGGGUAGCGGAGAAAUUCCAAUCGAACCUGGAGAUAGCUGGUUCUCUCCGAAAUAGCUUUAGGGCUAGCCUCAAGUGAUGAUUAUUGGAGGUAGAGCACUGUUUGGACGAGGGGCCCCUCUCGGGUUACCGAAUUCAGACAAACUCCGAAUGCCAAUUAAUUUAACUUGGGAGUCAGAACAUGGGUGAUAAGGUCCGUGUUCGAAAGGGAAACAGCCCAGACCACCAGCUAAGGUCCCAAAAUAUA
rnacentral:rRNA from 1 species